UGACCGGUCCGGUGGUACACCA
rnacentral:siRNA from 1 species